GACGAACGCUGACGGUGUGCUUUAGGCAUGCAAGUCGAACGAGAAAGCCCUUCGGGGUGAGUAGAGUGGCGAACGGGUGAGUAACACGUGGAUAACCUGUCCCUCGCAGGGGGAUAACCCGGGGGAAACCCCGGCUAAUACCCCGUACGUUUCUCAGGGGGCAUCCCCUGAGAAAGAAAGGUAGCUUCGGCCAUCCGGCGAGGGAGGGGUCCGCGUCCCAUUAGCUAGUUGGUGAGGUGAGGGCUCACCAAGGUGACGANGGGUAGCUGGUCUGAGAGGAUGAUCAGCCACACUGGGACUGAGACACGGCCCAGACU
rnacentral:rRNA from 1 species